CCUACGGGUGACAGCAGUGAGGAAUAUUGGUCAAUGGGCGGAAGCCUGAACCAGCCAAGUAGCGUGCAGGAUGACGGCCCUACGGGUUGUAAACUGCUUUUAUACGGGAAUAACGCGCCUUACGUGUAGGGCUUUGCAUGUACCGUAUGAAUAAGGACCGGCUAAUUCCGUGCCAGCAGCCGCGGUAAUACGGAAGGUCCGGGCGUUAUCCGGAUUUAUUGGGUUUAAAGGGAGAGUAGGGGGCAUGUCAAGCGUGCUGUGAAAUGUCCGGGCUCAACCCGUGCCUUGCAGCGCGAACUGGCGGGCUUGAGUCCGCGGAAAGCAGGCGGAAUGCGUCGUGUAGCGGUGAAAUGCUUAGAUAUGGCGAAGAACCCUGAUUGCGAAGGCAGCUUGCUGCAGCGGAACUGACGCUGAGGCACGAAAGCGUGGGGAUCGAACAGGAUUAGAUACCCGUGUAGUC
rnacentral:rRNA from 1 species